rnacentral:lncRNA from 1 species
CUACAGUUUUAGGAAGUGUGGCAAGUGUUGUGCCUUUGGACAUAGUACCAAGGAGUGUCGAAAUGAGGACUGCUGUGCUAAGUGUUCUGGGAACCAUCUCCAGAAGGACUGUAAUAAAAAUGACUGUGAUGUGUAUUAAUUGUGUAAGAUAUAACAAGAGAUGUCGAAAUAAAUGCAAUGAAGUCAAUCCUCAUCAUCCAUCAUGGUGGUUCGGGUGCCCCUGCCACAUUUUUCAAUGUGACUUGUCAGAGGCAAGGGAGGAGAAGUGGUGAUUGCCUUAGAACUUUGUUCUUCUUGGAGCCAUUUUUAGGAUCUACGGAACAUUUUGACUUUCAGUGUGUUGCGUAACUUGACUGUUUGUUCUGGAUCCUGGAUCUGUACUUGUGUUUUAUUUGGAUCUUCAGUACAUCUUGGACCUUGGUGUGUGCCAACAUUUUCAUAGACUCUUGGAUUCUGGAUCAGGACAUUAGUUUCAUCUGUAUUUUAGUGCUUCACAGAACUUUUGCUUGACUUUUAGACUGUGUUCUACUGUCUCUUCAAUUGGACUUUAUACUUUAUGUGAAGUUUGUAAUGUGGAUCCUCACUGUGC